GAGGGGCAGCGGGGUUGUAGCAAUACAACUGCCGGCGACCGGCGCACGGGUGAGUAACACGUAUGUAACCUGCCCUCUGCAGGGGGAUAAGCGGAAGAAAUUCCGUCUAAUACCGCAUAAUACAAUUUGGAGACAUCUCCGGGUUGUCAAAGGAGUGAUCCGGCAGAGGAUGGACAUGCGGCGCAUUAGCUAGUCGGCGGGGUACGGCCCACCGAGGCUACGAUGCGUAGGGGUUCUGAGAGGAAGGUCCCCCACACUGGUACUGAGACACGGACCAGACUCCUACGGGAGGCAGCAGUGAGGAAUAUUGGUCAAUGGGCGGAAGCCUGAACCAGCCAAGUCGCGUGAGGGAAGACGGUCCUAUGGAUUGUAAACCUCUUUUGCAGGGGAGCAAGGCGCGGUACGUGUACCGCGAAGGAGAGUACCCUGAGAAAAAGCAUCGGCUAACUCCGUGCCAGCAGCCGCGGUAAUACGGAGGAUGCGAGCGUUAUCCGGAUUUAUUGGGUUUAAAGGGUGCGCAGGCGGACUGUUAAGUCAGCGGUAAAAUGUCGGUGCUCAACACCGGCCGGCCGUUGAAACUGGCAGCCUUGAGUGAGCGAGAAGUAUGCGGAAUGCGUGGUGUAGCGGUGAAAUGCAUAGAUAUCACAAAGAACUCCGAUUGCGAAGGCAGCAUACCGGCGCUCAACUGACGCUCAGGCACGAAAGCGUGGGUAUCCAACAAAGGUAGAUACCCUGGUAGUCCACGCAGUAAACGAUGAAUGCUCACUGUCCGGGCCGUUUAAGGCCUGGGUGGUCAAGCGAAAGCGUUAAGCAUUCCACCUGGGGAGUACGCCGGCAACGGUGAAACUCAAAGGAAUUGACGGGGGCCCGCACAAGCGGAGGAACAUGUGGUUUAAUUCGAUGAUACGCGAGGAACCUUACCCGGGCUCAAACGGAAGGGGACAGUAUGAGAAAUCAUACAUUCCUUCGGGACCGCUUCCGAGGUGCUGCAUGGUUGUCGUCAGCUCGUGCCGUGAGGUGUCGGCUUAAGUGCCAUAACGAGCGCAACCCCUAUCGACAGUUGCUAGCAGGUAAAGCUGAGGACUCUGUCGAGACUGCCGGCGCAAGCUGUGAGGAAGGCGGGGAUGACGUCAAAUCAGCACGGCCCUUACGUCCGGGGCGACACACGUGUUACAAUGGCAGGUACAGCGGGAAGCCACCCGGCGACGGGGCGCAGAACCCGAAAACCUGUCUCAGUUCGGAUUGGAGUCUGCAACCCGACUCCAUGAAGCUGGAUUCGCUAGUAAUCGCGCAUC
rnacentral:rRNA from 1 species